AUGGGAUGAUUUAGUUGGUGCUGGUCCUGCUUUGAGCAGGGGGUUGGACUAGAUGACCUCCUGAGGUCUCUUCCAAUCCUAAUCUUCUAUGGUUCACCCAGCACUCACGUACAUACAGGACUGUCCCUAGGCACACAUGGCUGCGUAGUGCACCCGAAAAUUUGGGGCACCAUUCCCCUCGCUGGCCGCAGCUGGAAUCCUCUUUUCUCUGGCCCCUCCCCCGCGCUGGGGGUUUCUCCCCGACCGUAACCCUGCCCCCUCCCUCCCACACUCCUCAGCCAGCUGGCUGAGAACUCCAGCCUCUGGCUUUGCUGAUCCAGCCUCGGGGAGCCCAGAGCGGCACAGCCCGGGCCCACCACUGCCCGGAGUGGAGUUUCUCUCUGGACCCUGCCUGCAGCACCACUCGGUCUCUGGCAGGGCCCAGGCCAGAGCCAGGACAGGAGGAGCGAAACUUCCAUGUGAGUCAGGGAGGAGGGGGGAGGAGGGAGAAAUGGGGGGACUUAAAGAGAUAGUGCACUCACUGUCUCUCACACUUCCCUAACGCACACAGAUUGGCUCUCAUACCCACAUACACUGCCUCUCACGAGUUACAGUCCCCCAAUACAGAUUGUCACACACAUACAGUCUCACACUCCCCAGCACACACUCUGUCACACAGUCCCCCAACACACAGUCACACACAAACACACAGAGUCUCUCUCUCUCUCUGUAAGGAUUUUUUACAGUCUAUCUGACCAGAAGACUUUGGGGAGCCUUAUAAUAUACCUCCUGCUAGGUCCCGCCUUAAGCCCAUUUAUCAGAGCUGGAAUAAAAGAAACCAGAUUGAUAUUAACUCACAACAACACUUUAUUUACUAAAGAGAAGGAAGGAAGGGGAGGGGGAUGGAUUAAGGACACUGGAGAUUUGGAAUAUAAACAUACACAUGCGCACACACACUCAAUAAAGCAAAAAUGUUUUUCUACCUCCUUUGGGUACUGCUGGUGGCGAGGCUGCAGAAUCCGGACUGGUGAGAUCAGCAAUGGAUACCAACAGUGGAUCACAGGUGUCGAAGACAGAAAGCAAGAGAGACUGCAUUCCUGCCACCUCAGAUACAGAUACUGUUCCAGCCAUAUUAACUCCUUGCUCAGACUAUGAGAACUUAAUAAUUCAAAGAUAUCUUGACACUGGUACCAGGAGAAAGCGUGAAGAGAGGACAUAUUUAAAAUGGAGUCUGAGUAGAAGAAUGCUCUGGGAAUACAAACUGUUCAGCUGGAAGUAUCAUCAAAAGGGCCAGGAAGGUUUGACUUAGUAUUUUAUAAAUUUACAAAGCUUUUCCACAAAGCCAUGAAAGGUGUGACCUUACCCUCCUUUUAGUUUUUUCCUCUUUGGAGUAUCUUCUUCUGAUGUUCGCCUGCCUCGACCCCGGGAACCUCUCUUGUCCUUUUGACUUCGUCCCUCUGAAAGCCAGAAUUAUUUCAAAUUAAGGGCACCCCAGAAAAAGCAUUGGAUGCUUUUUUUGUGUGCACCUAUUAUUUUAAACUUCUGUUUUGCAGGUUCUUUAUGUACAAGGCUCUUUGGAUAUUAAAAAUAUGUAUGAUUUACAGAUACUAUAUCACACACAGUGCCAACUUCUGUUCUGGUUGCAGCUUGUUCAGCCCCAUAACACAAGUCAAUAGAGUUGCACAGGAGUCACCUGGAACUUGGCCUGGUUCUGUAUAUUCAACAAAUCAUUUAGUAAAAGAGAGCUUUAAAAAUACACUCAACAUCUUCCCAUCCAAGGACUAUGUGUGGUUAAUCAGGGUGCAACAUACAUAUGCCUUCACCAGCACCCACUAAACAGACCUCAAAACCAUGUCCUCAGAAAUUUAAAGGAGAGAAAAGUUGUACAGCAUUCAUUGUUUACUGUACUUAAUUUGGCUUUUUGCCAUUUAAAAUUUCUAAUCUAUAUUAAAG